AUUGAACGCUGGCGGCAGGCUUAACACAUGCAAGUCGAGCGGGGUGAUGGUGCUUGCACUAUCACCUAGCGGCGGACGGGUGAGUAAUGCUUAGGAAUCUGCCUAUUAGUGGGGGACAACAUUUCGAAAGGAAUGCUAAUACCGCAUACGUCCUACGGGAGAAAGCAGGGGAUCUUCGGACCUUGCGCUAAUAGAUGAGCCUAAGUCGGAUUAGCUAGUUGGUGGGGUAAAGGCCUACCAAGGCGACGAUCUGUAGCGGGUCUGAGAGGAUGAUCCGGCACACAGGGACUGGGACACGGCCCAGACUCCUACGGGAGGCAGCAGUGGGGAAGAUUGGACAAUGGGCGCAAGCCUGAUCCAGCCAUGCCGCGUGUGUGAAGAAGGCCUUAUGGUUGUAAAGCACUUUAAGCGAGGAGGAGGCUACUUUAGAUAAUACCUAGAGAUAGUGGACGUUACUCGCAGAAUAAGCACCGGCUAACUCUGUGCCAGCAGCCGCAGUAAGAC
rnacentral:rRNA from 1 species